rnacentral:rRNA from 1 species
CUUACACAUGCAGUCGAGCGGGGAGAUGUAGCUUGCUACAUAUCCUAGCGGCGGACGGGUAAGUAAUGCUUAGGAAUCUGCCUAUUAGUGGGGGACAACGUUCCGAAAGGAACGCUAAUACCGCAUACGCCCUACGGGGGAAAGCAGGGGAUCUUCGGACCUUGCGCUAAUAGAUGAGCCUAAGUCGGAUUAGCUAGUUGGUGGGGUAAAGGCCUACCAAGGCGACGAUCUGUAGCGGGUCUGAGAGGAUGAUCCGCCACACUGGGACUGAGACACGGCCCAGACUCCUACGGGAGGCAGCAGUGGGGAAUAUUGGACAAUGGGCGGAAGCCUGAUCCAGCCAUGCCGCGUGUGUGAAGAAGGCCUUUUGGUUGUAAGGCACUUUAAGCGAGGAGGAGGCUCCUUUAGUUAAUACCUAAAGUGAGUGGACGUUACUCGCAGAAUAAGCACCGGCUAACUCUGUGCCAGCAGCCGCGGUAAUACAGAGGGUGCGAGCGUUAAUCGGAUUUACUGGGCGUAAAGCGUGCGUAGGCGGCUUUUUAAGUCGGAUGUGAAAUCCCUGAGCUUAACUUAGGAAUUGCAUUCGAUACUGGAAAGCUAGAGUAUGGGAGAGGAUGGUAGAAUUCCAGGUGUAGCGGUGAAAUGCGUAGAGAUCUGGAGGAAUACCGAUGGCGAAAGCAGCCAUCUGGCCUAAUACUGACGCUGAGGUACAAAAGCAUGGGGAGCAAAC